GUGCUGCUAGAGAAAGGAAGGCAA
rnacentral:piRNA from 1 species